AUUGAACGCUGUCGGCAGGCCUAACACAUGCAAGUCGAGCGGAGCGGCGGACGGGUGAGGAAUGCCUAGGAAUAUGCCUGGUAGUGGGGGAUACCGUUCGGAAACGGGCGCUAAUACCGCAUCCUAUCAGCUGAGCCUAGGUCGGAUUAGCUAGUUGUUGGGGUAAAGGCCUACCAAGGCGACGAUCCGUAACUGGUCUGAGAGGAUGAUCAGUCACCUGGGAACUGAGACACGGUCCAGACUCCUACGGGAGGCAGCAGUGGGGAAUAUUGGGCAAUGGGCGAAAGCCUGAUCCAGCCAUGCCGCGUGGGUGAAGAAGGUCUUCGGAUUGUAAAGCACUGUAAGUUGGGAGGCGUUACCAACAGAAUAAGCACCGGCUAACUUCGUGCCAGCAGCCGCGGUAAUAC
rnacentral:rRNA from 1 species